AUGAAUGUUUUAGCCUGGAACUAUCGAGGACUGGGGUUGGACUCGACAGUGGGCGAACUGAGAGACCUGAUUCGGUCCCAUAACCCAGCGGUGGUCUUUUUAUCUGAAACAAAGAAGAAAUUGAGGGCUAUGGAGAAACUAAGAUGGAGUCUGGGAUUUUCUUGUGGUGUGGCGGUGGACUGUCAAGGACAAAGUGGUGGGCUAGCUUUGUGGUGGAGAGAGCAUAUAAAUGUUACUGUGAGGCCAUGGAGCCAGUACUUUGUGGAUGCGGAAGUGGUCUGGGAAGGGAAAACUUGUAGAAUCACUGGAUUCUACGGGGAACUGGACGUGGAGCAUAGAAAGAAAUCUUGGGACGCCAUCCGAUACCUAAAACGAUAG
rnacentral:rRNA from 1 species